CUACGGGGGGCUGCAGUGGGGAAUAUUGCACAAUGGAGGAAACUCUGAUGCAGCAACGCCGCGUGGAGGAUGACACUUUUCGGAGCGUAAACUCCUUUUAUAUAGGAAGAAGAUGACGGUACUAUAUGAAUAAGCGCCGGCUAACUCCGUGCCAGCAGCCGCGGUAAUACGGAGGGCGCAAGCGUUACUCGGAAUCACUGGGCGUAAAAAGCGUGUAGGCGGAUUAAAAAGUCAGAAGUGAAAUCCUAUAGCUUAACUAUAGAACUGCUUCUGAAACUCUUAAUCUAGAAUAUGGGAGAGGUAGAUGGAAUUUCAGGUGUAGGGGUAAAAUCCGUAGAGAUCAGAAGGAAUACCGAUUGCGAAGGCGAUCUACUAGAACAUUAUUGACGCUGAGACGCGAAAGCGUGGGGAGCAAACAGGAUUAGAUACCCUCGUAGUC
rnacentral:rRNA from 1 species